AAGUCGUAACAAGGUCUCCGUUGGUGAACCAGCGGAGGGAUCAUUACUGAGUACUACACUCUCUACCCUUUGUGAACUAUUAUACCUGUUGCUUCGGCGGCGCCCGCAAGGGUGCCCGCCGGUCUCAUCAGAAUCUCUGUUUUCGAACCGACGAUACUUCUGAGUGUUCUUAGCGAACUGUCAAAACUUUUAACAACGGAUCUCUUGGCUCCAGCAUCGAUGAAGAACGCAGCGAAACGCGAUAUGUAAUGUGAAUUGCAGAAUUCAGUGAAUCAUCGAAUCUUUGAACGCACAUGGCGCCUUCCAGUAUCCUGGGAGGCAUGCCUGUCCGAGCGUCGUUUCAACCCUCGAGCCCCUGUGGCCCGGCGUUGGGGAUCUGCCACGGCAGGCCCCUAAAACCAGUGGCGGACCCGAAGGGCCCUCUCCUUUGCGCAGUAGCAUUCGCCUCGCAUCGGGAGUCCUCGGCGUCCUGCCUCUAAACCCCCACAAGCCCGCUUCGGCGGCACCAAGGUUGACCUCGGAUCAGGUAGGAAUACCCGCUGAACUUAA
rnacentral:rRNA from 1 species